rnacentral:rRNA from 1 species
UACGUAGGGGGCUAGCGUUGUCCGGAAUCAUUGGGCGUAAAGAGCGUGUAGGCGGCCCGGUAAGUCCGCUGUGAAAGUCGGGGGCUCAACCCUCGAAUGCCGGUGGAUACUGUCGGGCUAGAGUGCGGAAGAGGCGAGUGGAAUUCCUGGUGUAGCGGUGAAAUGCGCAGAUAUCAGGAGGAACACCGAUUGCGAAGGCAGCUCGCUGGGACGUAACUGACGCUGGAGACGCGAAAGCGUGGGGAGCAAACAGG